GGGGUAAAUUUAAGUCAAUUAGUUAAUAUAAAAAUAUAUUAUUAUUAAUGUAAAUUUUGUUUUAAUUCUAUAAUAAAAAUAAAAUGUAAGUCGAAUACCUAAAAUCAUGGAAAACAUUACACAUAAGCAAAUUUACUUUUCAAAUAAUAGUAUAGAUGUUAGAUUAUAUUGAUUACACAAAGUUAAACUACUAAUUAAACAAAAGGUUAGAGUUAAUCUGAGUAAUUUUCUCUAUAUAUAGAGAGAUACUAGGUGUUUUUCUAAUUAUAAUUAUAUUUCAGAAUAGCUAUGUAUAUAUUUAAAAUUAUAAUCCUAGAUAGAUUUUUUAUCUAUUUCUUUUGGAUAAAAUAUAUUAAAAUCAACUUGUAUAAAAUUAAUAUAAAAAUUGUAUAGUUAUCAAAAAGUAAAACUAAACAGCAUUUCUAAAAUUUGUAGAUAUAUAAAAGAAAUAUUUUGAAAUUUAUAAAAUAUCAUCUUUUAUUAUUAUAUUAUUUAAUGUCGUAUUUUAAUAGAUUUACUUAAUUUUAUGAUAGUGUAUAUAAUUUACUAUCAUUUUCAAAAGAGUUUAACAAAAGUAUUAAUAAACAUUAAAUGCAAUUCUCUAUGUAACAUUUAACAUAGAUUAUGUCAUUAUUGUAGCAUGUCAUGUCAUAUUUGAUUGGUGAAAAUGAUUGUAAAGAAGACAUAUGUCAAAAUCAAUUUGCAAAUAAUAUCUAGAAGAUAGUCAACUAUUCUUUUUUUUUUAAAAGGUAGUCAACUAUUCUUUUUAAGAGAUUAAUCUGUCAGAUUUUUUUUUCUUACCAUAUAUAAAAAGUUUGAUCUUGUCACAUUUUUCUGUUCUAUAAAACACAUUGUCCAGAAAAUAUAUAUAUAUACACACCUCGCCAUCCUCGAAACAAACACAGUUUUCUGCAGUGAUGGGUUCAUUCAAGGUUGCUUUUGUUGUCCUUUUAGCUUUUACUGUGGUGAUAUCCAUAACAGUUCAGAUUGUUGAAGCGAAACGAAUGUUACAAGAAGAAAAGUCUCUGCCGUUAUUGGAUCUUCAAGUUUCCAAGCUGGUUAAUCCACAAAGGGUUGUAUCUUGUAAGCGUCCUUGCGGAAUCAUAUGUAAAUUAGGCAGUUGUCGUUGUGUAUGCUUUUCGAUUCCGCCACCAAAACUAUAAAUUAUGAUUAACUAAUGAAUAAAAAAAUAUUUGUUGUAAAUCAGUGAGAAAAACUUAUCUUAUUAAUGAUCAAAAAGAUCUAUAUUUA